UGCAUUUCAGUUUCGCUGAAACAGGUCCAGUGUUUCACACGCCGCCUCCAUGUUUUAUUGUAAUUCAGGAGUCGGACAAAGGAUACUGGCAUGUACCAACUGCCUCACAACUUGAAUCUGAAGAGGAAAGGACGUGGUUGUGCAUUAGGAGUGCCAAUUCACCUUUGGCAAAUCAAAACUCUGCCAGUGUAAACAUAUGUAUUUCCAAUCAACUAAUUAAUGUGAAAUCUAUUCGAUGAC